rnacentral:rRNA from 1 species
UGUUUCGGCUAGGGGGCCAUCCCGGCUUACCAACCCGAUGCAAACUGCGAAUACCGGAGAAUGUUAUCACGGGAGACACACGGCGGGUGCUAACGUCCGUCGUGAAGAGGGAAACAACCCAGACCGCCAGCUAAGGUCCCAAAGUCAUGGUUAAGUGGGAAACGAUGUGGGAAGGCCCAGACAGCCAGGAUGUUGGCUUAGAAGCAGCCAUCAUUUAAAGAAAGCGUAAUAGCUCACUGGUCGAGUCGGCCUGCGCGGAAGAUGUAACGGGGCUAAACCAUGCACCGAAGCUGCGGCAGCGACACUGUGUGUUGUUGGGUAGGGGAGCGUUCUGUAAGCCUGUGAAGGUGUGUCGUGAGGCAUGCUGGAGGUAUCAGAAGUGCGAAUGCUGACAUAAGUAACGAUAAAGCGGGUGAAAAGCCCGCUCGCCGGAAGACCAAGGGUUCCUGUCCAACGUUAAUCGGGGCAGGGUGAGUCGACCCCUAAGGCGAGGCCGAAAGGCGUAGUCGAUGGGAAACGGGUUAAUAUUCCCGUACUUGGUGUUACUGCGAAGGGGGGACGGAGAAGGCUAUGUUGGCCGGGCGACGGUUGUCCCGGUU